UGAUACGGAAGCAAGCAACUGAGAGGGAAUCGCAGUAACAGAAUAAUAAACAAACUAAACUAAAACUGAACCAAUAACAGAGUAGGGGUGCGUAAUGCGCAUCGCAAUUCCAACGACGACGACGACUUCCAUGGCCGGCGACGAGAGACAAACUUCUUACCGUGUUCUGGCGGAUCGGUGUCGGACACUGGAGGAGGAACAAGCCAAGCUCAGGGAACAGUUCCGCCAACUCUUGCAGGAGAAGGAAGAGGAAGAAGAAGAAGUGGUGGUUGCAGAUUCAACGCUGCGUUUUCUUUCGGGGAACUUCUUCUCGGAUAGUCCGUACGCUAGCGUGUUGAAAUGCAUGGGACACGCCGUUCAUGUCUACAGAGCUUCCUCCGGUGAGAUCAUAUAUUGGAAUCGUUCAGCAGAAACACUGUAUGGAUGGAAAGACUAUGAAAUCAUUGGUCAAAGAGUUGCUAAGUUCCUUGUUACCGAAGAGUGUUAUGAAUCUCUGCAGAAUAUUCUAGAAAGAUUGAUCACAGGAGUUCCAUGGUCUGGAAAGUUUCCUUUCAAGAAGAGAUCUGGUGAAGUAUUCGUAGCAAUAGUGACUAAAACUCCUCUUUAUGAGGAUGGCGAGCUUGUUGGUAUUAUCACUGUUUCUAGUGAUGCCGCUGUAUUUAACUCAAUGGAUUCAGAAAAUAGAAGAAGUUACCAACCUGGUAACAAUGGCAAAGCUGGAGGACAGAGGAUAAAUUUCAAAAGAAUUCAGUGGCCUCCACGACCGUUGAUUGCAUCAUCUGUCUCUAAUCUGGCAUCAAAGAUUCUCCUAAAUCGGCAUCCGGAUGAUGCAUUUUCCAGGAAUCCUACAACAGAUGGAGAUGAAGAAAAACACAGCAUUCAUGAAACAGAACGUCAUUCUAGUCAUCAGAGAAGUGAAAACAUAACUUUUAGGGAGGCGUCCGAGAAGGUUAAGUCUACUAUUGCAGCCAGAGUCCUAGCCAAGCUACAAACAGGGGGAAGUGAAAAAUGUGGGAAGGAUGAUGGAAGCAUUAAAAGUAAUUGCACGAAUGAUUGUUCCGGAAGUAAGAGAGUGAAUAAUGAGGGUGAUUCUUCUGGAGGCUCAGUAGCUUUAACUCCACGCAAGGAUGGUGCUAAUGAAGAGGAUAGAGAAGACCCAUUGUUAAGAUUACACUGCAAAUUUAAUCCAAAGAAAAAGGAACAAGAAGCUAUAAAUAUGGUGAUAGAAGAUGAAAUGAAAAAGCAACAAGAAGGACUGCAAUUGCAAAGUACACGAGAAAGCACUGGCAGUAAUGGAGGCAGUAAUGGAAGUUCAUCCAGUAAGGGUGACAAUGAGUCAAACUCUAUUGUGAAGUCUGAAAUCCAUUGGGAAAACCUUCAAUUAAGAGAGGAGAUUGGUCAAGGGUCUUACGCAGUUGUGUAUCACGGAAUAUGGAAUGGAUCGGAUGUUGCUGUCAAGGUUUACUUUGGGAAUGGAUACACAGAGGAGACCUUACAUGACUACAAAAAAGAGAUUGAUAUAAUGAAGAGACUAAGACACCCUAAUGUAUUACUUUUCAUGGGAGCAGUAUAUUCGCAGGAAAGGCUUGCCAUUGUAACAGAACUAUUACCUAGGGGAAGCCUUUUCAAAAUUCUUCACAGGAGUAAUCAGCCACUAGAUAUCAGAAGGCUUUUAAGGAUGGCUCUUGAUGUUGCUAAAGUAAUCCCGGGAAGAUUGAAUACCUACCUGGAGAACAAUGAUAUUUGGUUUUUUACCCUUAGGUUGGAGACUUUGGUUUGUCAAGGUUGAAGGAUUCAACUUUAUUGACUUCAAAAGGAAGAGGCACUCCUCAAUGGAUGGCCCCUGAAGUCCUACGAAAUGAGCCUUCCAAUGAAAAGUAAUUCCCUGGAGCCAAGUUCUAUAGAUACUGCUCACUGGGGAAAGUUUUCAGGAAACUUUCUGAGAAGUGAAUUUUAUUCUUUUGUUUCUUGCCGCUUAUUAAUUGCUUGCUUGAGGAAUAGCUCAAUCAGUCAGCUUGAAUCUCCUCACAACUUGCAACCUUAUAUUUGAUGAGGAAGUGAUAAUAUAUCAGUCCUUAGUUUUGUCCCUUGUCCCUAUCAUCGCCCUACAUUCGCAAUUUCAAAAUAUCCUGAUGUGAUCAUUUUCGGAUUUUCCUUUCUAUUUUACACAGGUCGGAUGUGUACAGUUUUGGUGUCAUCCUCUGGGAACUAAUGACUCAGUCCAUUCCGUGGGAAAAUUUGAAUUCCUUACAGGUGGUUGGAGUAGUAGGAUUUAUGGAUAGAAGACUUGAGCUUCCGGAAGGGCUUGAUCCCCAAGUGGCAUCAGUCAUUCGUGACUGCUGGCAAAGUGACCCAGAACAACGCCCAUCGUUUCAAGAGCUAAUACAGAGAAUGAUGUUCCUUGUUAACAAAGUAAACGCAGUGUCAAUUAGGAGAAAUUCAGAAUCAUAAACUUGUUAUGUGGUCUGGGUUUAUGAAUAGCAACUGAAAAGUCCUAGCCGAACAAAAUUGAGCGCAACAGAACAUCCUUCCUAGUUCCUUCCAAUAUGAGAGAAUUGGAAGACUUUGAGAAGAAUAGCUGGUUGAUCAUUGUGAUUCUUGUCACUGAUGUAGUUAUGGAUUCAAAGUAACUUGAGAUGAUGCUGACCAAUGACGGGCGCCUUCCAUGAAGGCCAAGAAUCGAAUUGAACCCAUCUUCAUCAUUCACAGAGAAAUGCUAAAUUCAAACUAGAACAUAGAAUGCAUAGAAUGUACAAGCUAGAACAUAGAACAUAGAAUGUACAUUCCUUACUUCGAAUGGAAUAAUUCAGAAGUUAAUGGUUGAACCUAUAAAUUAGUCAUACUAAUACAAUGUCAUGUAUUUAUUGCUAUUCAAUAUCCAAACAUUUGAGUCAAGCGUUCUAGUUGGAACGCAUGAUCCAUUUAACUA